GGGAAUUUUGCGCAAUGGGGGAAACCCUGACGCAGCAACGCCGCGUGGAGGAUGAAGUAUCUUGGUACGUAAACUCCUUUCGAUGGGGAAGAUAAUGACGGUACCCAUAGAAGAAGCCCCGGCUAACUUCGUGCCAGCAGCCGCGGUAAUACGAGGGGGGCAAGCGUUGUUCGGAUUUAUUGGGCGUAAAGGGUGCGUAGGCGGUUUGGCAAGUCUUAUGUGAAAUCUUCGGGCUCAACCCGAAGCCUGCAUGAGAAACUACCGGGCUUGAGUAUGGGAGAGGUGAGUGGAAUUUCCGGUGUAGCGGUGAAAUGCGUAGAUAUCGGAAGGAACACCUGUGGCGAAAGCGGCUCACUGGACCAUAACUGACGCUGAUGCACGAAAGCUAGGGGAGCAAAC
rnacentral:rRNA from 1 species